GUCCUAGCCGUAAACGAUGGACACUAGGUGUUGGUGGUAUCAACCCCGCCAGUGCCGAAGCUAACGCAUUAAGUGUCCCGCCUGGGGAGUACGGCCGCAAGGCUAAAACUCAAAGGAAUUGACGGGGGCCCGCACAAGCAGCGGAGCGUGGGGUUUAAUUCGAUGCAACGCGAAGAACCUUACCAGGGCUUGACAUGACCAGGAUCGCGGCGGAAACGUCGCUUCCCCGCAAGGGGCCUGGCCACAGGUGUUGCAUGGCUGUCGU
rnacentral:rRNA from 1 species